rnacentral:lncRNA from 1 species
GCUGCAACCUUUUCUGAGGAAGCCUUACAUUUCCACUCAUUGAUGGGCAGGGCCAGUUAGAGAAGGAAGGAUUCUGAAGUCAUAGGCAAGGGUGGGCCGGGGAGAACUUUGACCCUCAGAGAAUCAAUGUCCUCUUCUGAAGCUCAGAACUUCUAGAUCUACCUUUUCACUCAAGAUGGCCACAGGGACAUGGAGAAAUGACGUGAGUUGGCCAAUGUUGAUGGGCCCCAGAGAUAAAUGUGAAGUCUGAAGGGAGCUUUUCAGAAUGUGAAAAUGGUUGGCCUGUUUGCACUGAAGAAAUAAAUAACUGUUUUUCUUGGCAUUGUGUGUUGACAAUGAUGAUAGCCUUUCUAUAGAAAUUUAUAAGUGAUGGCCAGCAAGAAACACUCCACCUUAUUCUUUCAGUGCCUAGGUGUCAUCAUAAUCAGAUUUCAUUAUCAUUCCUUGACUUGACCACAAUCCUUGCUUCUGGGUCAGAAGAAAAUGUGGAGCUCACAAACCAACUGUUCUGGAGCUCCAAGUCUAGAGACACCUACCUCCGUGGGAUUUACAUAAGCCUGAGCAAAGAGCGCUCCAGCUAAGAAUAUAUCCACCCCUCUCCCUGGGCAACGUGCCUGAGAGGUGUGAAAACUGACUCACUGCACCUCUGACUCAAUGAAAAGACAAAUGUAUGAAGAAACUCCUGGAUUGAUGCUGUGGGGAGAGCCCAGUCUUUUUAGCACAUGAAGAAAGAGAUGGCUGUUACGAAGUCAAGUCCUAGAGGGUAGAAGCUUUUAUUUAAGCUCUCUCUCUCUCUUUCUCUCUCUCUCUUUCUCUCUUUUUCUUGAAUGCUUCAGACAGCUUUAGCAAGUGAAGGUUUUCAAGUAGCAAGUGAGGCACAGAGAGG